ensembl:lncRNA novel transcript
AACUGCCGCUGUGUUGGAACUGCCAGCUAGACUGCUCACCAAAAUGGGAGGCAGCCUCUGCUGCUGUGGUGAAGGUGAAGGCUUCUUCUACCGCCAGAAUUGGCGGUUUCUCUCGCUGGAUUCUUGGGACCUGAUCCAGGCAGCACACUCGACACACUCAGCGAUUCAGCUCUACAGUAUGCACUCUGGGAUCUCCCAUUUGCUAAGGAAGGAUCUUAGCUUUGAGAAAGGUGUCAAGCCUGUGGCAGCAGAGCUUCCUGGGGAGUCCUCAGAGCAAGUCAUUGCCAUUGUCGAAGUGAGAUCUUUCUUUGACUAAGAUGGGAAUUGUAUUUCUCUUGGUUUCUAUUUCAUUUGAAUUAAGAUAUGCAAACCUUACCAUGGACAUUAUAGAUAAGUUACAGAAUUUCUUGGUGGGAUAAUGUGAGAGUUCAUGAGCAACUAGGAGCUGGCUCCAGAUGGCACGCAUAGAUGCCACCUUCAGUUACAAACUGUAUGCAGAUAACAUUUUCCUCAGGAGAAAUGCUUACUGUUAGA